UGCUAAUACCGGAUAACAACAGAUGAUGCCUAUCAACUGCUUAAAAGAAUGGUUCUGCUAUCACUCUUGGAUGGACCUGCGGUGCAUUAGCUAGUUGGUAGGGUAACGGCCUACCAAGGCGAUGAUGCAUAGCCGAGUUGAGAGACUGAUCGGCCACAUUGGGACUGAGACACGGCCCAAACUCCUACGGGAGGCAGCAGCU
rnacentral:rRNA from 1 species